GGUGCAUGGUUGUCGUCAGCUCGUGUCGUGAGAUGUUGGGUUAAGUCCCGCAACGAGCGCAACCCUUAUCUUCAGUAGCCAGCAAUUCGGUUGGGCACUCUGGAGAGACUGCCAGGGAUAACCUGGAGGAAGGUGGGGAUGACGUCAAAUCAUCAUGCCCCUUAUGAUUUGGGCUACACACGUGCUACAAUGGCGUAAACAAAGGGAAGCAGCCCUGUGAAGGUGAGCAAAUCCCAAAAAUAACGUCUCAGUUCGGAUUGUAGUCUGCAACUCGACUACAUGAAGCUGGAAUCGCUAGUAAUCGCGAAUCAGAAUGUCGCGGUGAAUACGUUCCCGGGUCUUGUACACACCGCCCGUCACACCAUGGGAGUCGGAAAUGCCCGAAGUCAGUGACCCAACCGUAAGGAGGGAGCUGCCGAAGGUGGAGCCGGUAACUGGGGUGAAGUCGUAACAAGGUAGCCGUAUCGGAAGGUGCGGCUGGAUCACCUC
rnacentral:rRNA from 1 species